UGUUCUUUCUACUGGAGCGGCCUUGUC
rnacentral:piRNA from 1 species